CAAGGUGCUGCACAUGAGGCUGCUAAACAAGACCCUGUAGGAAAACUUCGGAGUUGCUUGGAAUCAACUGCAUUUGGUGAGUCUGGAGUUAUGUCAAAGGAUGGAAAGGCUGCUCCAGAAUCAGAAACACAAGAGAUGCUGGAAAUCCAGAGCAAUGCACACAAAAUGCUGGAGGAAGUCAACAGGCCAGCUGCCCAGAAGAGGAGAUGCCUGAAACAGUGGGGCAUGGCAUUCAUCCUGGGGCAGGGGAUGGCCCUUCCCAUCAGUGCUGCCCUCCAGUGAUCGCUUGGUGGAAGACAAACCGGUUUGCGUUCAUCAGCGGCUGCUCUAGUGCAUGAUGAUUGGACUGCUGCACGCUUGUUCUUGCUGACAACAUCCCAUGCACUAUCAAUCUACAGGAAAUGACACUCCGAGACCUGGGCUAUAUUUUUUUGUCUCAUUUAUGUUUACUGCUACCAUAGUUAUAUGUGCUAUAUAUGCCUUGUGCAGUAUAUGACUGUUUGUUCAGCGUUCAUGAGGAAUGCUGCUUCAUUUGGCUGUAUUCAGGGGUAGUCAUGUAUGGUUGAAUGACAAUUAAACUUGACUCCCAUGCAAGAUUACUUGGCCUGAAGU